UAUAUAAAGUCUGACCUGCCCACUGAAAAUUUUAAAUGGCUGCAGUAAUUUGACUGUACAAAGGUAGCAUAAUCAUUAGUUUUUUAAUUAAAAGCUUGUAUGAAAGGUUGGACGAAGUAAAAUCUGUCUCUUUUUAAUAUAAUUAGAAUUUAAUUUUUAAGUAAAAAAGCUUAAAUUUUUAUAAAAGACGAGAAGACCCUAUAGAGUUUAAUAAUUUUAAUAAAAUAUUUAAUCAAGAUUUAUUAAUUUUAUUUAAUUAAAAUUAUUUUAUUGGGGUAAUAAAAAGAUUAAAAAAAUUCUUUUUUUUUAAUACAUUAAUUUAUGAAUAUAUGAUCCAUUUGUAGUGAUUAAAAGAUUAAAUUACCUUAGGGAUAACAGCGUAAUUUUUUUAAAGAGUUCUUAUCGAUAAAAAAGUUUGCGACCUCGAUGUUGGAUUAAAGAUUAAUUUAGGUGUAGAAGUUUAAAUUUUUGGUCUGUUCGACCAUUAAAUCUUUACAUGAUCUGAGUUCAAACCGGUGUAAGCCAGGUUGGUUUCUAUCUUUAUUAAUUUUUUAUAUUUUAGUACGAAAGGACCAAAUAUAAAAUAUAUAAAUAUUUUUAUUUUGAAUAUUAUUAAAUUAGUUAUUUUGGCAGAUUAGUGUAAUGAAUUUAGAAUUCAUUUAUGUAAAUAUUUUACAAAUAAUACUUGUUUAUAAAAGAUAUAAUUAUUUCUUUUAUUUUAAUUAUUUUAUUAAUUAUUUGUGUUUUAGUAGGUGUAGCUUUUUUAACUUUAUUAGAACGAAAA
rnacentral:rRNA from 1 species